rnacentral:other from 1 species
CAAUUCCUGAGAUGUGCGUGGCGCUUAUAAGGUUCAACCACAGUAAUAUUAAGGGAUUUGCAACAAUUUUAUAGGAUGUCAUGCUUCCAAAAUAGGAAGAAGACAGAAUAUAAAUGAGCUUAACCCACCUGCGAGAGUGCGGGUAUGAACUAAUAAGCUGUACGGCAUGUUGGGAUAUAU